ensembl:snoRNA
AUCCUUCGGUUCAUUUAAAAUGAUGAUCGGUGUAUCACGAAACAUUCGUGAAAUGUACUGCCUCAUUGUUACGCUUUGUACAUUACCGCUCUGAUA